GGACUACCGGGGUAUCUAAUCCUGUUUGAUCCCCACGCUUUCGUGCCUCAGUGUCAAUAACCGUGUAGCGAGCUGCCUUCGCAAUUGGUGUUCUAUGUCAUAUCUAAGCAUUUCACCGCUACAUGACAUAUUCCGCUCACCUCCACGAUAUUCAAGACAGAUAGUAUCAACGGCAGUUUCUGGGUUAAGCCCAGAGAUUUCACCACUGACUUACCUGCCCACCUACGCACCCUUUAAACCCAGUGAAUCCGGAUAACGCUUGCACCCUCCGUAUUACCGCGGCUGCUGGCAC
rnacentral:rRNA from 1 species